GGGAGCUUGCUCCCUGAUGUUAGCGGCGGACGGGUGAGUAACACGUGGGUAACCUGCCUGUAAGACUGGGAUAACUCCGGGAAACCGGGGCUAAUACCGGAUGCUUGAUUGAACCGCAUGGUUCAAUUAUAAAAGGUGGCUUUUAGCUACCACUUACAGAUGGACCCGCGGCGCAUUAGCUAGUUGGUGAGGUAACGGCUCACCAAGGCAACGAUGCGUAGCCGACCUGAGAGGGUGAUCGGCCACACUGGGACUGAGACACGGCCCAGACUCCUACGGGAGGCAGCAGUAGGGAAUCUUCCGCAAUGGACGAAAGUCUGACGGAGCAACGCCGCGUGAGUGAUGAAGGUUUUCGGAUCGUAAAACUCUGUUGUUAGGGAAGAACAAGUACCGUUCGAAUAGGGCGGUACCUUGACGGUACCUAACCAGAAAGCCACGGCUAACUACGUGCCAGCAGCCGCGGUAAUACGUAGGUGGCAAGCGUUGUCCGGAAUUAUUGGGCGUAAAGCGCGCGCAGGCGGUUUCUUAAGUCUGAUGUGAAAGCCCCCGGCUCAACCGGGGAGGGUCAUUGGAAACUGGGGAACUUGAGUGCAGAAGAGGAGAGUGGAAUUCCACGUGUAGCGGUGAAAUGCGUAGAGAUGUGGAGGAACACCAGUGGCGAAGGCGACUCUCUGGUCUGUAACUGACGCUGAGGCGCGAAAGCGUGGGGAGCGAACAGGAUUAGAUACCCUGGUAGUCCACGCCGUAAACGAUGAGUGCUAAGUGUUAGAGGGUUUCCGCCCUUUAGUGCUGCAGCAAACGCAUUAAGCACUCCGCCUGGGGAGUACGGUCGCAAGACUGAAACUCAAAGGAAUUGACGGGGGCCCGCACAAGCGGUGGAGCAUGUGGUUU
rnacentral:rRNA from 1 species